rnacentral:pre_miRNA from 1 species
AUAAUACUCCCUCCGUCCGGAAUUACUUGUCAUCAAAAUGGAUGUGUCUAGAACUAAAACAUCUAGAUACAUCCAUUUCAAUGACAAGUAUUUUCGGACGGAGGGAGUAGUAG